rnacentral:rRNA from 1 species
GACGAACGCUGGCGGCGUGCUUAACACAUGCAAGUCGAACGGAAAGGCCCUGCUUGCAGGGUACUCGAGUGGCGAAGGGGUGAGUAACACGUGGGUGAUCUGCACUGCACUUCGGGAUAAGCUUGGGAAACUGGGUCUAAUACCGGAUAGGAGCCAUCUUUAGUGUGGUGGUUGGAAAGUUUUUUCGGUGUAGGAUGAGCUCGCGGCCUAUCAGCUUGUUGGUGGGGUAAUGGCCUACCAAGGCGGCGACGGGUAGCCGGCCUGAGAGGGUGUACGGCCACAUUGGGACUGAGAUACGGCCCAGACUCCUACGGGAGGCAGCAGUGGGGAAUAUUGCACAAUGGGCGCAAGCCUGAUGCAGCGACGCCGCGUGGGGGAUGAAGGCCUUCGGGUUGUAAACUCCUUUCGCUAGGGACGAAGCUUUUUUGUGACGGUACCUAGAUAAGAAGCACCGGCUAACUACGUG